CAAACGACAAUGAAAAGAAGAGUAGCAGUUCAUUUGUUCCCAGAGAGUCUCUGAUUGGUGAAAAGAGACAACGAUGAUUUGUGAACCACAUCUUUGAGUCGAUUAGUUGAAUCAAGUAGGCUGAUCCGGGAGUGCCCGUUAUAGCAGAGGUCAAUUGACCAGUUGAGAUCGCUCGUUGUGAGACGGUGAUAAAAAAAAGGUGGAACCACGUAAUUCACGUCCUUUAG
rnacentral:ncRNA from 1 species